rnacentral:rRNA from 1 species
CCUACGGGUGGCUGCAGUGAGGAAUAUUGGUCAAUGGGCGAGAGCCUGAACCAGCCAAGUCGCGUGAGGGAGUACUGCCCUAUGGGUUGUAAACCUCUUUUGUCGGGGAGCAAAAGCCGGACGUGUCCGGCUGUGAGAGUACCCGAAGCAAAAGCAUCGGCUAACUCCGUGCCAGCAGCCGCGGUAAUACGGAGGAUGCGAGCGUUAUCGGGAUUUAUUGGGUUUAAAGGGUGCGCAGGCGGAUUGUUAAGUCAGCGGUCAAAUCGUGGGGCUAAACCUCAUCCAGCCGUGGAAACUGGGGAUCUAGAGUGUGCGAGAGGUAUGCGGAAUGCGUGGUGUAGCGGUGAAAUGCUUAGAUAUCACGAAGAACUCCGAUGGCGAAGGCAGCUUACUAGACUGCCACUGACGUUGAUGCUCGAAAGCGUGGGUAUCAAACAGGAUUAGAUACCCGAGUAGUC